rnacentral:rRNA from 1 species
GACGAACGCUGGCGGCGUGCUUAACACAUGCAAGUCGAACGGAAAGGCCCUGCUUUUGUGGGGUGCUCGAGUGGCGAACGGGUGAGUAACACGUGAGUAACCUGCCCUUGACUUUGGGAUAACUUCAGGAAACUGGGGCUAAUACCGGAUAGGAGCUCCUGCUGCAUGGUGGGGGUUGGAAAGUUUCGGCGGUUGGGGAUGGACUCGCGGCUUAUCAGCUUGUUGGUGGGGUAGUGGCUUACCAAGGCUUUGACGGGUAGCCGGCCUGAGAGGGUGACCAGCCACAUUGGGACUGAGAUACGGCCCAGACUCCUACGGGAGGCAGCAGUGGGGAAUAUUGCACAAUGGGCGGAAGCCUGAUGCAGCAACGCCGCGUGCGGGAUGACGGCCUUCGGGUUGUAAACCUCUUUCGCCUGUGACGAAGCGUGAGUGACGGUAAUGGGUAAAGAAGCACCGGCUAACUACGUG